UCCUGGACCAUUCUCAAGUCGAUUGUUCACAAUUGACCAUUCACAAUCGACUUGAGAAUGGUCCAGGAUGGACUGAAACAUCGACGUCCCUUCACUUUCUAGUGUGUGGUUUGGUCAACAGAUAAAAUAUAACUUUUGUCUAUAGCACAAGAGGUACAUGUUUUAUCUGUAUAUGUGGCAUCAAAAUACAACUUUUAUCAGGAGCACAUAAUAAACAGUUUCUGUCUGCAACAAGUAAAGAUCAGAUCUUAUACGAAUCAUUGAAGACAGUGAUAUAUCUUCAGCAUGUAAAAAGCAAACUGCGUUCAAUCAGUUCUUACAACAUGCAAGACCCACACUUUGUCUACAGUAUAUGAAAACCAGGUUCUGUCUGCAGCUGAUAAAAAUUUCUUUCCCCAGCAACCUCAGAUUUUGAAAAGCUCUCUGGAUUCCCACAAGUAAUGUCUAAGCUCGCUUAUCCGGAUGGGAUGAACCCCUCGCUGGACAAGCCAAACAUCUGGAUAAGUAGAAUUCUUACUGGGAAGGUCCAAAAAUGACCAUAUUUGCAAUUUGUUGUACCACAACCAACACAAUUUGAAUUUCCACACACUAUAAAUCAAAAAUAUAAUUAAAAAAAAAGAGAAACUUCAGCUUACCUCGUAGUUUGUUUUUAUGUUUGAUAUUGUAGAUCUUGAAAUGUGUAGUUUAAAAUUUAUGUAACCUAACCUCCAGUUAUCUGGAUUUCUGUCCAGAUACGGUGAAGUUUUGGCAAAAAAUUAUCCAGAUUUUACUUAGAAUCUGUGCCAGCCUGGGCAAUCUAGCCAAACCUCCUGUUAUCCAGAUUACUAUCCGGAUAUUGCAAAGUUUUGUCAGAAAAUUAUCUGGAUAUGAUUUUGGCCGGAUGACCCAAAUAUCCGGAUAAGCGAGAUCAUACAGUAAUCUAAAGAAAUGAUCUAGUCUUCGACAUUAUAUGUCAAAAUUUCAUAACCCUUUCAAACAACAAAGAGAUCAUUGGAUUUGCAUCAGUUGCUGGCAAGGUCAUAUGGCCUUUAACAUGGUCUUGAAAAGAUCCUGAUGGCUUGUUAAGUCUUGUGCAUUGUGACUGUAGCUCAUCCAUUUCACUAUAGCUCAAGGGGUUUGUAAAACACUAUGCAAUGAUAUCAUGUUAUGCUUAUACAAUUUUGUAUCUUUUAUCUUUCAGAGAAAGUUCAUCAAAUAGGACAAAGUACUGUCUUGAGUGAAUAUAUAAACUUCUACAGUUUAUUGUCUUAGAAGGAAUCAGGAAAGUUAUUUUCUAGUUCAUAGGGAUACUAAAGUGAACAUAACACAUUAAGAAAAUAUAAAUUAAAAUGUUUAAGAUAUAACAGUUAUGUCUUCCCUAGAAAGGACUCCAACUUGAGUGUGCAAUUACACACAGUAUGAAGUGAUAAAAUUAAACUUAAGUAAUCCUUAAUUUAACAAUUUUUUGUAAUCACAUAUUUAUCAGUGGCACUUACAGUUGCAUGCCUAUCAGAGGCACUAAUAGCUAGAUGUCUAUUAGUAACCCUCAUAGUAAUAACAUCUAUUAGUGGCAUUUAAAGCAAGCAUAAACGAAAUUUAAAAGAAAAAGUAGAAGUUAAACUUAAAGUAAAUCAUUAUUUACACUACCGCUUAUUGUACUGUAUGCACAACUUAUUUUUCUUCAUGCUGAAGAUUCAUGCAAAUGAAAAUUCACACCAUAAAAAUUCAUGCAAAGACAGUACAUUCCCAGUUCUGUACUAUGGGGAUUUAACCCAUGGCCACCUUUAAGCAAAUGUCUCUUAAUGAUGUAUGCAAAUUCUUUAACCUGGAAAAAAGCACACUAACAAUACAGUCAAGGGUUAAUUAAAUGUGUGAGAGACUCUUUGAAGUCACGUUAGCAACAGCCCGAGGCUGAGACAGCUGUGCUUCAAUGUGUGAAAUAAGGUUGGAGUGGUGUAUUAGGAGAGGGGGUGGAUUUAAAUAGUACCCAUCUAGUAUGGGCCAACAGACUUGUUUAGAUGCUUCCCUAAUUCUUAUUUUUCUUCUUUAUUUACAGUAACAAGAUAUUAAAAUGUCAUUCAGAAUUAAGUUCAGCCAUUACAUUGUUUUAAAUAAUCUAUGCUCAAUUGGUUUUCUACAGUUUUGCCUGUUGUGAGGUCACAUCUUUGGAGGUCAGUCAUUAGCAUGGUGCAGUAGAUGAUGUACACAUCCCUCAGUCAGUCAGUUACACAUCUUUGUAUCUGGCCAGUAACUUGUUGGGUGUCUACACAGACAACCUCACUGUUGUGAAACUGUAUAUCAUUUGUCCACUCAUUAAUAUAUUGAAAUGUUGAAUGGUAAAAAUCUUCUUGGCAACACCAGAAUGUGUUGACACCAGUAUGUCUUAACCUACUGGUGUCUUAACACCAUAAGACACCAGUAUGUCUUAUGUUUUUGAAUAACAAAUUUAUCUUUGGUGGAGGGUGGAGUUUGAGUAGAUCACAUUACAAUAGACACAAACCAAUCAUACUAAGCUCCACCCCCUCAAGCAAUAGGCUUUGGUGAACAAAAGUACACAAAGAAAUAAUCUCAAAUUUCAUUUGGUUUGCAGAGAUUCUCUGUGAAGCCUUGUGUGCCUGCCAUGACCCUACUGUGCCAGUGCCAUAAGCUCAAGGAAGCUAUUAAUAUGCCAUCAAGAAAGGAGUGUCUCAUUACACUCUGAAGCUAUAUUUUUAUGGUGCAUUUCUUUGCAAAAUAGUAUGUAGAUCAGUAAAAGGUGAGUCAGUAUGGGAAGGCAUCUCCAAGUGAAACUGGGAGUGUAAUGAUCAAUGUAUAGUGGGUUUUGUGUUUAUCUGUUUCAGCCACAAUAUUACGAAUAUAUUCUUCAUGUGUCAUUACAACACAAUACACAAUUAUAUAUAAUAGAACCUUAGUAAAUUUUCUAGUAAUUAGCAUUAUUAUUACUAGGUACUUAACUAUGAACAAGGUGAGAGGUUGAGUAUGCUUUGAUUCAUUUAUUGACAAUUCGUAUAAGGUGAUCCGCCUGGACCAGACCCAACCAUAAUACUUUCUAAGGCUCAGUGACUCAGACUUAACUGCAUAAACAAGCUGAUUUCUUCUGUCAGUUACUUAGACUCUUAAAAUUGUAUAUACAGUAUGAUUUUUUCCCCAAAAAUUCCUUAUGCAACACUGUAAAACUUAUCUUCUGGCAUCUUCCACCUUAGCAAGUAGGCAAAAGUUAAUCUGUAGCUCAUGGGAUAAACUCCAGAUAAUGGCCAAAUCAAUUUAUUUUGAUGUGCAUAAUUACUAAAUUUAAAGCUCUGCUAAGCAAGCUAAUGUUUAAUUUGUACACUAAUUGAAUGAUACAAAUUUUAUAAACAAUUCCAAAAGUUCUGUUAUUAAGUGUUCUAUAAUAAAUGACAUACUGCAAUCCUCAGAUGUGCAUAUACAUAAUAACAUCCUUAACCAUAUGCACUUGCACACUCAGUAAGGAGACCCCUAACUGUGAACACUAAUAUUUCUUCCUGUCUAUCUUAAGGUUUGUGUUUUAGUAGUAUAAUAAUUAGACCAUGCUGUAGUUUUAGCAGUGGAAAAUUUGCUAAUAUUCUUAUUUGCUAUCUUUUGGAUUUUCAGCUGCUAUAAAGGUGUGUUUGGUAUAAACGCAACUAUCCAGAUAAAUUGCAUUGCUCAUGAACAGCUACUCGCCUAGGCCGAGUAUAUAGUUACUGUGUAAGGAUCUGCCAAAAGUUACCCAUUUCAUAGUGUUGGUUUAAAAUAUGGCAGUGCAGUCUUAAGCCUAGGUUCAGCAAUUUGCAGUGUCUUAGCAGAACUAAGCAUGAUUUAGAUACAAAAUUAGGCUUGCCAUCUUUACAGUGACAGAGCUAGCUUAGUGUUGUAUAGUUUCUGGAUUGUACUAGGCAGCUGCUGCUCUAGUCUCCAGUGAUCGUGGAAAACAACUGUUGUAGAAUGCACAAUGGUAGCUUCAUCUGAGUGAUGCCAAAUCAUGUAUAUCUUAAAGAGUAUAUUUUUGUAGACAUUAUGGCAAUAAGACAGAGAUCCAUAGCCCAGACUUGCAUUAUUUUGGGAUAUUGUGCUGUCCUCAGUUGCAAGUCUGUUACUCGGUAUAAAAUUGUAUAUUAAAUUAAAACUGUUACGCCAAGUCCUAUUGGUUAUUUUUGGUAUCAGCUGUUAUAUUAUAUUUUAUGCAGAAUACUAUGGUGUGUUUUCUGUAUGUUGAUCAUGUCUGUGGUUGCAUGAAUGCGUACAAGGUGUGAUCAGAAUUAUCCUGGACUGAUUAUAUUAAAUAUUGUUUUAACACUAUGGGAUGUAAACUUUAAGUUUUGGCCAAAAUGCUGUGUGUAUUUGUGACAUUGAGUGAAUGCACCUAACCUAAUACUUUUAUCCAUAUAAAUUAUACUGUACCUUUCUAUUGUACUAAUAUGAUUGUACUGUAUUGUAUGCAACAAAAUUUUUAUAAAAAUAUAAUUUAUUUUUUUUCAUAGUAAAAUAUUAGUAGUAUCAAUGUAACCGAUAAACACAGUAUCUGAACAUGCCAUAAUCGUAACUGCAUUAGAACUAUCUAAUAUACUCCACUCGAGAGUACUGUAACUAAAUUGUAAUUACUGUAUUUUCUAUAUCAGUACUUUACUAUGAGACACCAAAUGUAUGGUGAGAUAUUACAGUUUGCUUUUACCUGAAUUUUACAAAUCUGUUACCGAUUUCACAAAAUAUUUCUAUUCCAGGAAUGUUUUACUUGUACCCUAUAUAUCGUGCAGAUCAAGAAUUUAAUUACAUAUGAUGCUUAAACACUGUCCUCUAUAUACAUACAGUAUUUUUAUUAAAUUACAUUUACUUAAUACAGUAAUGUUGUAUGAGAUACUAAACAAGUGUUAGGUACUUUUUGUGGAAUAUGUUUAGAAACAUUGAAAUUCUGGAAUUAUGUACCAGCAUUUGGAAAGAGUAUACAGUUAAUAGGGGAAUAUUAAUCAUUUCCUUGUGUUGUGUUAGUAUACAUCUUUUCUUUGAAAUUCUUUGAAAUGAGUGAAUACUGAUAAUAUGGCUUCUAAAGCCAUAUUAUCAGUAUUCACUUUUUCUUUUCUUAGAAAUUGUUGGCAUAUGUCCUCUUUAGGAAAACGUGUCAUUCAAAUUAUGUACUGUGACAGGAAACUUGUUAAACUUAUUUUUUAUAUAAUUUUGUACAUUAUUAAAAACUUUGGUGUUUAUGAAAUCUUUCUCAAUUUUUACCAAAAUUGUCCUACAACCUGAACAUGGCAAGCAAAAUACUGUUCAUGAUAGUGUAGUAGUACUACUUAGUAAGUUUUCAUUAAGUUUAAAAUGUAAUGCAAUACCGUAUUUUAAUUAUGUAAAGAUUUCAACUUCCAAAUGAUAAGAAGUGUGUGCCAUUUUAAGACCCUCCGAGAUGGCAUGACCCAGUGGGAACCGUUGAUUGAAAGUGAUCAACGUUAUGUACUAUGUAACAGUAAACAGUAUCUAAUAUCAGUCACUUUCACAACCAACUGUGCCCAUCGGGGAGUGACUAUCCACAAUUAAGCAUGCUCAGCAGAUAAUGUCUUGUCACAUUGCUCAGCUGUGGCAUUAACUUAACUCUAUUUAUGCUUAUGGUAGUACUGAGAGGAAGUAA